GGUUAGUUAGUAUAUAUACUCU
rnacentral:snRNA from 1 species